AACGCGAAGAACCUUACCUGAUCUUGACAUCCUCCUGACCAUGCCCUGUAAUGGGGCACUUCCUUCGGGACAGGAGAGACAGGUGGUGCAUGGUUGUCGUCAGCUCGUGUCGUGAGAUGUUGGGUUAAGUCCCGCAACGAGCGCAACCCUUGUCCUUAGUUGCCAGCGGUCCGGCCGGGCACUCUAGGGAGACUGCCAGGGAUAACCUGGAGGAAGGUGGGGAUGACGUCAAAUCAUCAUGCCCCUUAUGACCAGGGCUACACACGUGCUACAAUGGCGUAAACAAAGAGAAGCGAACCUGUGAGGGGGAGCAAACCUCAAAAAUAACGUCUCAGUUCGGACUGCAGUCUGCAACUCGACUGCACGAAGCUGGAAUCGCUAGUAAUCGCAAAUCAGAAUGUUGCGGUGAAUACGUUCCCGGGUCUUGUACACACCGCCCGU
rnacentral:rRNA from 1 species